rnacentral:rRNA from 1 species
UACGUAUGGUGCACGCGUUAAUCGGAAUUACUGGGCGUAAAGCGUGCGCAGGCGGUUAUAUCAGACAGAUGUGAACUCCCCGGGCUCAACCUGGGAACUGCAUUUGUGACUGUAUAGCUAGAGUACGGCAGAGGGGGAUGGAAUUCCGCGUGUAGCAGUGAAAUGCGUAGAUAUGCGGAGGAACACCGAUGGCGAAGGCAAUCCCCUGGGCCUGUACUGACGCUCAUGCACGAAAGCGGGGGGAGCAAACAGGAGGAGAUACCCGUGUAGUCC